GAUGAACGCUGGCGGCGUGCCUAAUACAUGCAAGUCGAGCGAACAGACGAGGAGCUUGCUCCUCUGACGUUAGCGGCGGACGGGUGAGUAACACGUGGAUAACCUACCUAUAAGACUGGGAUAACUUCGGGAAACCGGAGCUAAUACCGGAUAAUAUAUUGAACCGCAUGGUUCAAUAGUGAAAGACGGUUUUGCUGUCACUUAUAGAUGGAUCCGCGCCGCAUUAGCUAGUUGGUAAGGUAACGGCUUACCAAGGCAACGAUGCGUAGCCGACCUGAGAGGGUGAUCGGCCACACUGGAACUGAGACACGGUCCAGACUCCUACGGGAGGCCGCAGUAGGGAAUGUUCCGCAAUGGGCGAAAGCCUGACGGAGCAACGCCGCGUGAGUGAUGAAGGUCUUCGGAUCGUAAAACUCUGUUAUUAGGGAAGAACAAAUGUGUAAGUAACUAUGCACGUCUUGACGGUACCUAAUCAGAAAGCCACGGCUAACUACGUG
rnacentral:rRNA from 1 species